UAGAGUUUGAUCAUGGCUCAGGAUGAACGCUAGCGGCAGGCUUAACACAUGCAAGUCGAAGGGCAUCGCGGGGAGUGCUUGCACUCCCUGGCGGCGACUGGCGCACGGGUGAGUAACACGUAUGCAACCUGCCCUCCACAGGGGGACAACCUUCCGAAAGGGAGGCUAAUCCCGCGUAAAUCUCGAUGGGGCAUCCCAUUGAGAGGAAAGCUUCGGCGGUGGAGGAUGGGCAUGCGGCGCAUUAGCUAGUCGGCGGGGUAACGGCCCACCGAGGCGACGAUGCGUAGGGGUUCUGAGAGGAAGGUCCCCCACACUGGUACUGAGACACGGACCAGACUCCUACGGGAGGCAGCAGUGAGGAAUAUUGGUCAAUGGGCGGGAGCCUGAACCAGCCAAGUCGCGUGAGGGAUGACGGCCCUAUGGGUUGUAAACCUCUUUUGCCGGGGAGCAAAGUGCCGCACGUGUGCGGUUUGGAGAGUACCCGGAGAAAAAGCAUCGGCUAACUCCGUGCCAGCAGCCGCGGUAAUACGGAGGAUGCGAGCGUUAUCCGGAUUUAUUGGGUUUAAAGGGUGCGUAGGCGGACGCUUAAGUCAGCGGUAAAAUUGCGGGGCUCAACCUCGUCGAGCCGUUGAAACUGGGUGCCUUGAGUGGGCGAGAAGUACGCGGAAUGCGUGGUGUAGCGGUGAAAUGCAUAGAUAUCACGCAGAACUCCGAUUGCGAAGGCAGCGUACCGGCGCCCAACUGACGCUGAAGCACGAAGGCGUGGGUAUCGAACAGGAUUAGAUACCCUGGUAGUCCACGCAGUAAACGAUGAAUGCUAGUUGUCCGGGGCGAUUGAGUUCUGGGUGACACAGCGAAAGCGUUAAGCAUUCCACCUGGGGAGUACGCCGGCAACGGU
rnacentral:rRNA from 1 species